rnacentral:rRNA from 1 species
GGAGGAAAAGAAACCAACAGGGAUUGCCUCAGUAACGGCGAGUGAAGCGGCAAGAGCUCAAAUUUGAAAUCUGGCCCCUCCGGGGUCCGAGUUGUAAUUUGUAGAGGAUGCUUCGGGUGCGGCCCCCGUCUAAGUGCUCUGGAACGGGCCAUCGGAGAGGGUGAGAAUCCCGUCUGGGACGGGGUGUCCGCGUCCAUGUGAAGCUCCUUCGACGAGUCGAGUUGUUUGGGAAUGCAGCUCUAAAUGGGUGGUAAAUUUCAUCUAAAGCUAAAUACUGGCCGGAGACCGAUAGCGCACAAGUAGAGUGAUCGAAAGAUGAAAAGCACUUUGAAAAGAGAGUUAAACAGCACGUGAAAUUGUUGAAAGGGAAGCGCUUGCGACCAGACUCGCUUCCGGGGUUCAGCCGGCUUUCGGGCCGGUGUACUUCCCCGGGGGCGGGCCAGCGUCGGUUUGGGCGGCCGGUCAAAGGCCCCUGGAAUGUAACGCCCCUCGGGGCGCCUUAUAGCCAGGGGUGUCAUGCGGCCAGCCUGGACCGAGGAACGCGCUUCGGCACGGACGCUGGCAUAAUGGUCGUAAACGACCCGUCUU